rnacentral:rRNA from 1 species
GAUGAACGCUGGCGGCGUGCCUAAUACAUGCGAGUCGAGCGAACAGACGAGGAGCUUGCUCCUCUGACGUUAGCGGCGGACGGGUGAGUAACACGUGGAUAACCUACCUAUAAGACUGGGAUAACUUCGGGAAACCGGAGCUAAUACCGGAUAAUAUAUUGAACCGCAUGGUUCAAUAGUGAAAGACGGUUUUGCUGUCACUUAUAGAUGGAUCCGCGCCGCAUUAGCUAGUUGGUAAGGUAACGGCUUACCAAGGCGACGAUGCGUAGCCGACCUGAGAGGGUGAUCGGCCACCCUGGAACUGAGACACGGUCCAGACUCCUACGGGAGGCAGCAGUAGGGAAUCUUCCGCAAUGGGCGAAAGCCUGACGGAGCAACGCCGCGUGAGUGAUGAAGGUCUUCGGAUCGUAAAACUCUGUUAUUAGGGAAGAACAAAUGUGUAAGUAACUAUGCACGUCUUGACGGUACCUAAUCAGAAAGCCACGGCUAACUACGUG